rnacentral:rRNA from 1 species
CACGUAGGGACCAAGCGUUGUCCGGAUUCAUUGGGCGUAAAGAGCUCGUAGGCGGUUCGAUAAGUCGGGUGUGAAACCUCCAGGCUCAACCUGGAGACGCCACCCGAUACUGUCGUGACUAGAGUCCAGUAGGGGAGCGUGGAAUUCCUGGUGUGAGCGGUGAAAUGCGUAGAGAUCCGGAGGAACACCAGAGGCGAAGGCGGCCGGCUGGACCUGACCUGACGCUGAGGAGUCGAAAGCGUGGGGAGCAAACAGG